GAGUGGAGAAUGUCAAUGGAGGAAUGCUGCGUGAAAGAUUAUUCUACUAUCAUGCAUAUUGGAUUAACUCUGCACAGGCUACUGUCACCAGCUACAAUGAGCCAAAAGGUAGUUAGCCCAGCUGCUUGGAAAUGGAGGAAAAAAUCAUAACAUCAAUGAGACAUGGCUGAGGUCAGGACGCCACAGAUCAUCCAAUGGUGGACCAUCACCAGGAAGAGGAACAGCUGCAUCAUCAUCUGGAAGAGGAAGAGCUGUCAUCAGGAAGAGGAACAGCUGCAUCAUCAUCUGGAAGAGGAAGAGCUGGUUCAUCAUCAGGAAGAAUGACACCAUCAUUUGGAAGAGAAAGAGCUGGACCAUCAUCGGUAAGAGGAAGAGCUAGGCCAUCAUCCAAAAGAGGAAGAAAUGAGCCCAGUGCCAGUGAAAACCAGGUAGCUGCACUAGGGAAGCACUACUGAGCCUGGAGAACAUCCUGAGGCCCAUUCUGCCCAGUAUUCCCACCUACAGAAGACGCACUGUUGCAGAAGGAGAGGACGUAGAGCACUGUACCAUCUGCAUGAAUGACAUUGAAGUUGGAAUUUCCGUUGUCUGACACAAUGGCUACAGAUUAACAGCAUUUGUCCUGUGUGCCGCACAAGGUGCUACGACCUGGACAUUUUUUCACAUCAUAUCUGAAGGACACCAAACAUAAGCAGAGGACCCAAUCUAAACAUCAAAAGUAUAUAGCGGGUUCUAGUAAAUAUGUUUGCUGAAGUAUUAAAGCCAUCAACUUGAAGUCAUGCUUGCCUGAGGAUGAAUAAGAGCAUGUUUGUGCAAGUACACUUUGGAGACAGUUUUUGAACAGUUCAUCUCUAUGUAAGGAUUGUCCAAAUAAUACUUCCAAGGCUCCCUCAGAACUUGGCAUUGUGCCCACUGCCAGCCAAACAAAGGAAAGCAAUGACAUCUGCAUGUUUAUUUACUAGGUUUCCAGUACAGUUUCAACUGAAAAUGCAAAGACAUAGAAGAGUCCACCAGAAAUAUACAGAUAGCCCUAAAUAGUAUAUUUGACCGACAAAACAGUCUUAUGGGUAUAUUUAUCAAUACUGUGCUACAAUGAAUAUAUUCUAUUGCUGCUAAUUUUAGCAACAGAACAUAUUCUUCCUAAUUACCAUUAUAAUAUUGGUGGAAAGCUAAGCUAUACUUAUGUGUGACCUAGUUCAUAUAUAUGCACUGCACAGGAAGUUUGGAAUUUGGUUUCCAGUUGCAAAUUCAAUAGCAAAAAAAAAUACAAUUUGCAUAUUGCCGCCGUAAUCCAGAAAAAUCUACACUAGUGAAUGCAACUGCAUCCACCUCUGAAUAAGGCCUUGCAUGAGGAAGAAAGUCAAUAUGGAUGAUAAAGGGAAAAGGGGGAAUAUACGAGAGAUAAUGGUGUGUGUAAAGGAUAAUAGUAACCAACAAAUUAAUAUUAACUUUCCAAAUAAAUAAUAAGCCUCCGAUGUUAAUUAUUAGCCUGGAUUUAUAUUCAGUCACACCAAAUAAAUGUAAAACUUCAACAUACAGUAUAUAUGCUUCAGCAAAAACAUUUAAGUUAUUUAAAAGUAAUGCAAAAUGUUUCUAUUUAAAUGCAUCCCAGUUGUUGUAAAUUCAUCCAAAGCAAUGCCACCUCGUAAAUAUUACCUAAACAUUUAUCUAUAAUCCUGACGGCUAACCAUCAAUCUUUUGUAACAGAAAAUAUAUACUCUUUAUAUAACAAGUCACUGAUUUAUAUCUUAGAUGGAAGUUGAUGAUAGACUAAAACUGCUGAUUUAUACAUUUAUUGGCAAGAUAACAUAAACCACAUUUAUUAA